rnacentral:rRNA from 1 species
GAUGAGCGCUGGCGGCGUGCUUAACACAUGCAAGUCGAACGGUGACGGCGGAGCUUGCUCUGCUGGAUCAGUGGCGAACGGGUGAGUAACACGUGAGCAAUCUGCCCCUGACUCUGGGAUAAGCGCUGGAAACGGCGUCUAAUACUGGAUACGAGCUGCGAAGGCAUCUUCAGCAGCUGGAAAGAAUUUCGGUCAGGGAUGAGCUCGCGGCCUAUCAGCUUGUUGGUGAGGUAAUGGCUCACCAAGGCAUCGACGGGUAGCCGGCCUGAGAGGGUGACCGGCCACACUGGGACUGAGACACGGCCCAGACUCCUACGGGAGGCAGCAGUGGGGAAUAUUGCACAAUGGGCGCAAGCCUGAUGCAGCAACGCCGCGUGAGGGACGACGGCCUUCGGGUUGUAAACCUCUUUUAGCAGGGAAGAAGCGAAAGUGACGGUACCUGCAGAAAAAGCGCCGGCUAACUACGUG